rnacentral:lncRNA from 1 species
CAGGACAAAAAAACCCUUUGAAAAAUCUCCUGAAGACUGAGACAACACAGGAAGAGCUGGAAACUGUGCAUGCCACGAAGCUUUCUGCCUGGGAAUUUUUGGUUUACCAGUAUGGCUGCUCUGUCCUGCACCUCCUGGUUCCCCAGCUUCAGGCUCCAGAAACCACCUUACAGAUUGCUUCUUGUCUGCCUGUCGUGGAGGCCUCUGGAAAUGCCUUCCAAGGUUCCUUCUUCUAUCAGAGCACUGAAAACACCCUGUUUGUUGAGAGAGAGUGCUUGGCCUCUGUGGGAAGUUUUGUUCUGCUGUUGAUCCACUGCCUGGCCCACAUCGCUACUGGGGACUUUAACCAGGACUCCAACCCCAGAUUUCUGGAGUUGUUCUAUCAGGGGCUGAGAGUCUACUUCAAGGAGGCAUUUACUACUACAUUGCAAAUGUCAGCAGUUCCCUGGGACAAUAAGUUUGAUCAAAACCUAAUUGCUCUCCUGUUAAAAGAGCAGCCCAUUUCUGAGAGAGAAAGAGACCUCCUCUCUAAGCUCAUUGAGAGGAAGCCUGAGCCUUGCUUGGCAAGAGAGUCAUCAGAAGAGUAUAUUAAGAAGAACAAAGAUCUUCUCCUCUUCAACAAUAUGGAACAUUUCCUUAAAAGCAUUCUUUCUGCAAAGCAAUGAUAACAUGAAGAGCUGGACUCAGCGGCAAAGAAAAGUGCUUCUCAUAUGCAUGCGUGUGACUAUCAACUGGGACAUGAGCAACUUACCAGUGGCUACAUCCCCCACGGAAGAGUGACCCUCCUUCAGCAUCCAUCAACGGCAAAUGUCUCCUCCAGCAGGAGUGGGACCCCAAGGAAUUGACUUUCCCCCCUUAGUAAAUACUAACUAGAAUUCCAAAGAGACAAGCCAUGCUCUGCUGCAAAUAGCAGGAGACUCCUGCGUCUCUCCCAUCAACAUCUGUGUCUCUCCCAUCAAUAUUUGGCAUUUUACAUCUUUUGUAAUUCAUCCAUGCUUCUGGGUGUGUGGCAUAUGGGAGAGAUAUUGAACUUUCAUUUUAUAAUAACCACCAUCAAGACUCAGUGUUUCAAGUGUGAAUAUUCAAGUGUUUGAAUAUCUUGCCUAUUUCCCACUGAGCUCCCUAUUUUCUGACUUCUAGAAAUUAAUUUUCAUAAUUUUAUGAACCUUUUAAAGAUAAAAGUAACUUCUUCUGUUUUAUUUUUAGACCUAGAAAGUGGAAAAAUAUUCAAUACAACAUCUGAGAAAUGU